rnacentral:piRNA from 1 species
UGGUUUGUAGUCAGGUGGCCCAUUGAUGU